UGGAGUGUGAGCAGAAGGGGAGGGCACACUGGGGGUUCUGUUUCAGAGCUGGGUAUGAAGCUGGGGAAUUGCACUUGGAGAAUGGAGGGACAUGUAAAAACCAAUUAGCCCGCUUAGUUCCCUGGUCAGAGUGUAAUGUUAAAUCUUGAAGUCGUUUCUCAAGAAAGAUCUUUGAAUUAAACAUGAAAUGAUAAAUUGAUGAAUUAUAACAGAUCUAGGUAGAAUUUAUCCACCCCCAUCCCUACCCCCUUUUUGGGUAGAUAACAGAAAUGUGCAAUUCACUGUACUAUGGAGACUGGAAGGUCUACUACAUUUAUUGCUGUGCCAGUUCUCCUUAUAAGUUGUUGUUGCUGCUUUUGUUUUAUUUAUUCUGUCUAUGGGUGUGUUUGUUUUCUGUUUGUUUUUCUGUCUUUCUAGGUAGCCUUAGCUGGCCUGAUACUUGCUAUGUAAUCCAAAUUGGCUUUGAACUCCUAGCAAUCCUCCUGAGUUAACUCUCCGUGUGCUGGGAUUACAGUUGUCCGGGUGAACUGGAAGGGUCCUUAGAGUAGGAGUGAGCUGGAUUGCUAAACAGAGUUCCAUUAUUCUCCUAUCAGAUCAAUAAAUUUUCACUUGUUCUGAGGUACUAUUUAUGGAUUAGUAAAAUACCCACAAUAACAUCUACAGACAGAAAGGUAUAGGGA
rnacentral:lncRNA from 1 species